rnacentral:rRNA from 1 species
GACGAACGCUGGCGGCGUGCUUAACACAUGCAAGUCGAACGGAAAGGCCUCUUUCGGGGGGUACUCGAGUGGCGAACGGGUGAGUAACACGUGAGUAACCUGCCCUUGACUUUGGGAUAACUUCAGGAAACUGGGGCUAAUACCGGAUAGGAGCUCCUGCUGCAUGGUGGGGGUUGGAAAGUUUCGGCGGUUGGGGAUGGACUCGCGGCUUAUCAGCUUGUUGGUGGGGUAGUGGCUUACCAAGGCUUUGACGAGUAGCCGGCCUGAGAGGGUGACCGGCCACAUUGGGACUGAGAUACGGCCCAGACUCCUACGGGAGGCAGCAGUGGGGAAUAUUGCACAAUGGGUGGAAGCCUGAUGCAGCAACGCCGUGUGCGGGAUGACGGCCUUCGGGUUGUAAACCGCUUUCGCUCAUGACGAAGCUUUGUGUGACGGUAGUGGGUAAAGAAGCACCGGCUAACUACGUG